GACGAACGCUGGCGGCGUGCUUAACACAUGCAAGUCGAACGGAAACGCCCCUUUGGGGGUACUCGAGUGGCGAACGGGUGCGUAACACGUGAGUAACCUUCCCUUGCCUUCUGUACAACUUCAGGAAACUGGGGCAAAUACCGGUAAGGCAUCCUUGCUGCAUGGUGGGGGUUGGAAAGCUUUGGGGGCCUUGGAUGGACUGGUGGCCUAUUAGCUUGUUGGUGGGGUAGUGGGUUACCAACGCUUCGACGGGUAGCCGGCCAGUGGGAGCGACCGGCGGCAUUGACACUGAGAGACGGCAGAGACUGCGACGGGAGGCAGCAGUGGGGAAUAUUGCACAAUGGGCGGAGGCCUGAUGAAGCAAGGCCGCGGGCGGGAUGACGGCUUUGGGGUUGUAGACCGGUAUCAGCAGAAGCGAAGCUUGUGGUGACGGUACCUGAAGAAGAAGCACCGGCUAACUACGUG
rnacentral:rRNA from 1 species